CCUCUCUAUACCCUUCCUCAUUCUUUCUCUCUCUACCACUCACAUGCCCAUAAUGUGGUCUAGCACAUUUUUGUACCGGACUGAAAAAAAAAUUACGAUCCGACACAAAAAGGACCGCAAAAAAAAUUAUGGGAAUGUGAAAGUUUAAAGUCUUCCCCUGAAUUGGCCAAAGAACCAAAUUGCUUCGUUUUUCUUAUCAAAUUUAAGAAGGCUCGUAAGUGAAUUUGACAAUAUUGAUCGAAACACACCCCAAGCCAACUAAUUUAACAUGAAAUGGCUAGAAGUAAUUGUGACCUCCUUAUAUGAAACAUAAAUAGUCUCAUAGUAUAUAAUCCCUUCACUAAAAUAAUAAUAGUGAGACCAAUUUUUCCUUCUAGACUAAAAACAAAUGAGGAAUAUUAUUUUAUGCCGGCUGGACCACAUUUCAACAAAUGCGGUCCAGAAAGUGUAAAACAUUCAUCUUAAAGAAUGAUGCAAGUAAGUGUUCCAUCUAAAACAAUGAAAACUAACGGUCCAAACGUUUUUUAUUAGAAUUAUUAUUUUUAGUUUUUAAAUUCUUUUUUUUUUUCAUAUUCAUGAUCUCCACGUUAAAGAUUACAUGUCCUUAAAUAUUAAAUCUUAAAAUCCAUCUCAAAAAUAGAUUUAUUAAGAGGUCCACAUUUCUACAUAUGCCGGCUUGGCCGCCUAGAGCCCAAGUGCACCAAAUAAUGGUGAUU
rnacentral:lncRNA from 1 species